rnacentral:rRNA from 1 species
CCUACGGGAGGCAGCAGUGGGGAAUAUUGCGCAAUGGGCGAAAGCCUGACGCAGCGACGCCGCGUGAGGGAUGAAGGUCUUCGGAUCGUAAACCUCUGUCAGCAGGGAAGAACGGUCACUGUGCUAAUCAGCAGUGAAUUGACGGUACCUGCAAAGGAAGCACCGGCUAACUCCGUGCCAGCAGCCGCGGUAAUACGGAGGGUGCGAGCGUUAAUCGGAAUUACUGGGCGUAAAGCGCUCGUAGGCGGUAUGUCAAGUCAAUGGUGAAAUCCCCGGGCUCAACGUGGGAACUGCCUUUGAAACUGGCAGACUGGAGUGUGUGAGAGGAUAGUGGAAUUCCAGGUGUAGGAGUGAAAUCCGUAGAUAUCUGGAGGAACAUCAGUGGCGAAGGCGACUAUCUGGCACAUAACUGACGCUGAGGUGCGAAAGCGUGGGUAGCAAACAGGAUUAGAUACCCCAGUAGUC